UAGCCGUAAACGAUACUCGCUAGGUGUCGGCCACGGUGCGACCGUUGUCGGUGCCGUAGGGAAGCCGUGAAGCGAGCCACCUGGGAAGUACGGCCGCAAGGCUGAAACUUAAAGGUGUUGGCGGGGGAGCACAACAACGGGUGGAGCUUGCGGUUUAAUUGGAUUCAACGCCGGAAAUCUUACCGGGACCGACAGCAACAUGAAGGCCAGGCUGAAGACUUUGCCGGAUUAGCUGAGAGGAGGUGCAUGGCGUAGUCGUGU
rnacentral:rRNA from 1 species